UUCACGACGGCGAACGGCGUGGAAAACCUAGCGAGAAAUGCCGCAUGGCAUCGCCCUGAUUCGUCUUGGAGUGAGAUCGCUUUUCUACGUUCAGGAGAAAUUACUGAAAGAGAAAGAAAACGAGCGACUCAAAAAUAAGACGGAAACAGGAACGCCGUUUUUCGCAUCAAGUCAAUUAUGCGUCUGGACUUUGAAAUAACGGAUAUCAACAAGUUGUGACGGUCGUAAUUCGCGAGUUUCCAAGUGUCAGUUGAUGUCUGACUUUUAAGGACGAAGGAAAUAACGCAUUGUAAUAUUACGUACUUUCAAAAUUGCCAGUCGAUUUGGCUUCUGUUGUCACGAUUUUUCCACGGGAUGUUGGACUAUCCCGUAUGACAUUCACGUUGGUGGGAUAUGUGUGUUUUAGUAUGCCACUAAUGGCUUUUCAUCAUCUUAUGUUCUUGUGUGGAGACAAUAGGGAGAGAAACAACUAAGUACUAAGACAUUGGCAUUGCUGGCACAGAAGUCAAACCUGAAGUACUGAAGUGGUGCUCUAAAUCUGACUUCCUUCCUGAACAAGGCGGAUAUUUACGAUAGCAACACCUGAUUGGAUGGUUGAGAGAUACGUGGACUUCUGAUAGGUAAAAAAAUAUUCCUUUUAUGUUGUCGCGUCCAUACAGACAUGUCUCUGAACAUUCCAGAACACCGCUUGUAUCGACCAGAUGAAAUUCCAGCCUACAAUGUAAAACCAUGCCACGGACCAAAUCGGAAAAGAAAGGCUGAAAAAUGUUGACUGUUCUCUUCUGUUAUUCAGCUUUCGAAAGAAACGAUCGAAAAAUUGAAAUUUCGUGUUUUGGAGCGUAAUCAAUGGCUUUGUGCAGUGAGGUAGGGGGUCCCACGAUAGGAUCGAAGCUUGCCUCUCUCGUGAAUGUGCAGAGUUUAUAAUUAAACGCGUCGCAUCAUGCCCCAGUUCGUUUGUUCAUCUCGUGCUUUGAGGAUGCUGCUUGUCACUUCCACUGGAAACCAAAAUCUACGUAAAUCAGCAAAAUGAUCUGUGAUUGUUGGAAUUAUUUUCUCCACAAAAGCUACUAAGUUCAAAACGUGAAUACUGAACACUGUUCUUUUUGGAGUUUCCAGAAUCUGUGCAUUUCCAGGCUCUGUGCUUCUGGGUGAAAAGCAUCUGAUGUGUUCUGCUGCAGUGAAAUAUGACCAGGAAUUAUAUCGAAGCUGGCGUGUUGUGUAAGCGCUGUUGGUAGUUCUACUAUUUUCUGAAUUCCAUUCACCGCUUUGUGAAAUUCUUGAGGAGACAUUAUGAGUAAGAUGUACAAGCACGGAUCGGAACCUGACGGUUCCUCGCAGGCCAUGUUGGCGUUGUCUGGAGCAAAAGGCAGUGGUAGCGGAACCACGACACAAAACUACGGGAGUAAUGAUGGAGGAGGGGGAGAA